rnacentral:rRNA from 1 species
UACGGAGGGUGCAAGCGUUGCUCGGAAUCACUGGGCGUAAAGCGACCGCAGGCGGCCUGACAAGUCGGAUGUGAAAGCCCUGGGCUCAACUCAGGAAUUGCAUUCGAAACUGGCAGGCUUGAGUACGGGAGAGGGGGGUGGAAUUCCUGGUGUAGGGGUGAAAUUCGUUGAUAUCAGGAGGAACACCGGCGGCGAAGGCGGCCCCCUGGCCCGCAACUGACGCUCAUGGUCGAAAGCGUGGGGAGCAAACAGG